rnacentral:rRNA from 1 species
GACGAACCGAGCGAACGUUGUUCGGAAUCACUGGGCUUAAAGGGCGCGUAGGCGGGCUCGCAAGUCUGUGGUGAAAUCCUCCAGCCCAACUGGAGAAUGGCCGUGGAUACUGCGGGUCUCGAGGGAGGUAGGGGCGUGCGGAACAGAUGGUGGAGCGGUGAAAUGCGUUGAUAUCAUCUGGAACACCGGUGGCGAAGGCGGCACGCUGGGCCUCUUCUGACGCUGAGGCGCGAAAGCCAGGGGAGCAAACGGG